rnacentral:rRNA from 1 species
GCAUCCUUUGCUGAGGAUACGGUUAACGGAGCGAAAGCGACGUUCAACCUCAAAAGAAGCAGAGGGGGCUUAGUGGUGGGGUGACUGCGUACCUUUUGUAUAAUGGGUCAGCGACUUAUAUUCUGUAGCAAGGUUAACCGAAUAGGGGAGCCGGAGGGAAACCGAGUCUUAAUUGGGCGUUAAGUUGCAGGGUAUAGACCCGAAACCCGGUGAUCUAGCCAUGGGCAGGUUGAAGGUUGGGUAACACUAACUGGAGGACCGAACCGACUAAUGUUGAAAAAUUAGCGGAUGACCUGUGGCUGGGGGUGAAAGGCCAAUCAAACCGGGAGAUAGCUGGUUCUCCCCGAAAGCUAUUUAGGUAGCGCCUCGUGAAUUCAUCUCCGGGGGUAGAGCACUGUUUCGGCUAGGGGGCCAUCCCGGCUUACCAACCCGAUGCAAACUGCGAAUACCGGAGAAUGUUAUCACGGGAGACACACGGCGGGUGCUAACGUCCGUCGUGAAGAGGGAAACAACCCAGACCGCCAGCUAAGGUCCCAAAGUCAUGGUUAAGUGGGAAACGAUGUGGGAAGGCCCAGACAGCCAGGAUGUUGGCUUAGAAGCAGCCAUCAUUUAAAGAAAGCGUAAUAGCUCACUGGUCGAGUCGGCCUGCGCGGAAGAUGUAACGGGGCUAAACCAU